AGCGAACGCUGGCGGCAGGCUUAACACAUGCAAGUCGAGCGGGCGUAGCAAUACGUCAGCGGCAGACGGGUGAGUAACGCGUGGGAACAUACCUUUUGGUUCGGAACAACACAGGGAAACUUGUGCUAAUACCGGAUAAGCCCUUACGGGGAAAGAUUUAUCGCCGAAAGAUUGGCCCGCGUCUGAUUAGCUAGUUGGUGAGGUAACGGCUCACCAAGGCGACGAUCAGUAGCUGGUCUGAGAGGAUGAUCAGCCACAUUGGGACUGAGACACGGCCCAAACUCCUACGGGAGGCAG
rnacentral:rRNA from 1 species